UCUCUCUCUCUCUCUCUCUCUCUCUCUCUCUCUCUCUCUCUCUCUCUCUCUCUCUCUCUCUCUCUCUCUCUCUCUCUCUCUCUCUCUCUCUCUCUCUCUCUCUCUCUCUCUCUCUCGUUCUCUCUCUCUUGAAGCUCAUCUCAUCUCACUCUCUCGUUUAGACUCAAAGCUCUCUCAGGCUUCUCCAUAGCUUUCUGUGUGUGUGUCUCAAGCUCUCCUAAGCUUUGUCUGUCUUUCACUGUCUUGUAAGGUCAACAACACAGAUGCUGAUGCGAAGAUUCGAGUCAAUCUCCAGGCGCAAGGCAAAGAGAGUCAGGAAGGCCAAGGAUGAGAAGAAGAGCUCUGCCUCUAACAACAAGCCCAAGCGUCCUCUUACUGCUUUCUUCAUUUUCAUGAAUGAUUUCCGCAAAACUUUCAAAGAAGAGAAUCCUUCUUCUAACGUUAAGGAUGUUGCAAAGCAGGGUGGUGAAAAUGGAAGUCUUUGAUCAUUGCUCUGUCCUUUGCUUCUUCCCUUAGUUUCAUGGUGAUUUGCUUAUUGUGAUCUUACUCUGUAUUCUUUUGAUCAUUUAGGAAAAGAAAGUUUAUUUGGAUAAGGCUGCUGAACUAAAGGCAGAGUACAACAAGUCACUGGAGAGCAGUGAUGCCGAUGAGGAAGAAGAGGAUGAGGAGAAGCAGUCAGAUGAUGAUGCCGAUGAAAAACAAUCUGACGCGGCUGAUGUGUCUAAGCAGUCGACAUUUAUCGUAUUAAAUCAUGUUUUAGUUAAUGAUUUGAUUUUUUUUUAAGACUUGUUGUAAUAUUUUUUUUAUCAACCAACUUCUUAUUUGUUUGAAUUUCAAAAAUUAGAU